GGGAGUUUGGCCGAGUGGUUAAGGCGCCGUGUUUAGGCCGCGGUGGGAAACCGCGCAGGUUCGAAUCCUGCAGCUCUCA
rnacentral:tRNA from 1 species